AAACAUUCCAAGUCAACCAACAGAUGGUGCUGCAGGGUCAUCACAGCUAUAAUUUCACAAACAUACUGUCAUACCUCGGUAUGCCGCGCGGCACAUGCGGCUUCCUGGCGGUGCUGUGCAGCAGCCACGAAGUCUCCGGUCCCAUGCCGUCCUGGCCACAAUAAACACCAUGAGGAGCAGCCCCUGCAUGAUCUGUCUUCUGACAAGACAUCAUGAUCUUUUUGGCAACCAUGCGCCACCUACAGGAGUCCUUGGAAAUUACAGGACGCUGUGGGUGCAGGCUUUUAUAGCAUUAAAGUGACAGGUCAUAUUAUUGGUAUACAGAAAAACUCUUUUUAGCACUAACACAUUAUUUGUUUAGUUUUAACACUGUUUUUAAUUGCUUUCAUCACUCAUUUUUGUAUACUCACUAUGCUCUUAUCAGGAUUUAAUUUAACACUUGUAAUUUUCAACACUAGUACUAUUUAAUUUGUUCCCCACAUUUUUAGUGUAGGACCCACCAAUAUUGGGGUACUUUGAAAGUAGUGGUGGGCUUAACAACAUAUGGCCAUAUGGUGGAACUAAAUCCCCAUAUUUAUUCUCAGAUAGGCAUUUUAGUAGCCUUCUUUGUAUUAUAUAUUGUUUUGUAGUCUGAGUGCGCUGCAACUAUUUAUUGUUUUAGGUCAUAUUAUUGGGACACAUUAUUUGCCCUUCACAGGUCACACCCCUUUGUGUGAUUUGGUGUUCAGGGUGAUGAUCCUAUCCAAUAAGAUUUUUGUUCUCCCUAUUUAAACUUCCCUCUUUCUGGAGAUCAUUGCCCUAUUGUGGUUUAUUCUGCCCGAGAGUGCUUUCUGUGAAGUUUUUUUGCUUUUCUCGUUACUGACCCGGAUGUGUAUUUGACUAUUCUGAUUUUCUGGUUGCCUGACUUCGGCUUGUUUUUUCGUUUUUGAGUAUCUCUUGUGUCCUUGACCUUGGCUUGCUAUUUUGACUCUGUAUUUUUCUCCUAUCUAGGGCGUAAGUUAACCCGGGCAUUCUAAGGUCCGGUAUACAUACCUUCUCUCUUUUUAUUCUUUCAUUCUGGUUACUGUUUCCCUAUACUCUGUGAGUGUGGGUUACCCAAUCUUGACACAUACUCAGAUUAUAAGAAUACAUGUAUAUGUAUAGGGAUGUCCUUUUAUUCCUUUUUGUACCAGUUUAAUUAUGUAUUGCACUGUUGUCAUUCUCUAUCUUUUAUAAAUACA